UACGUAGGGCGCAAGCGUUAUCCGGAAUUAUUGGGCGUAAAGAGCUCGUAGGCGGUUUGUCGCGUCUGCCGUGAAAGUCCGGGGCUCAACUCCGGAUCUGCGGUGGGUACGGGCAGACUAGAGUGAUGUAGGGGAGACUGGAAUUCCUGGUGUAGUGGUGGAAUGCGUAGAUAUCGGGAGGAACACCAGUGGCGAAGGCGGCUACCUGGACCGGUUCUGACACUGAGGAGCGAAAGCGUGGGGAGCGAUCCGG
rnacentral:rRNA from 1 species